GCAAACACCUAGCUAUGGAAGGUAGAAUGGAAAUUGCAACAAAAUUCUAAUUCUAAUAGAAUACUAACAAUGCUAAACAAGCUUAAAUUAAGUUCAAAGAAACCUCAAAGGAAUUCCAAAGAAACAAUAAGAAAUCUUAAAGAAAUAUUAGAAUGAUUACAAACAUAUGUCAAAUACAUCUCAAUUCAAUCUUAAUUUAAUCCUAGUUGAAAUCUUACUUCAUUCAAACUUUAGGCCAAAAACUAACUAAAUCUUAAAUCCUAAAUAAACUCAAAUAAAAUCCUAAACCUUAAAUCAAAUCGUGAUAAAAUCCUAACCAAACCUUAAAUCUUAAACCAAAUCUUAAACCCUACAUCAAAUCUUGAUCAAAUCUUAAUCAAACUUUAAAUCCUAAAUCCUGAAUCUUAAUCCAAACCCUAAUCCUAAAUCAAAUCCUAACCAAACUCUAACCAAACUUUAAUCCUAAAUCAAAUCCUAACCAAAUCUUAACCAAAUCCUAACCAAAUCCUAAUCCUAAUCCUAAAUCCUAAACCAAAU
rnacentral:lncRNA from 1 species